AGUGAACGCUGGCGGUAGGCCUAACACAUGCCAGUCGAACGGCAGCACAGUAAGAGCUUGCCCUUACGGGUGGCGAGUGGCGGACGGGUGAGGAAUACAUCGGAAUCUACUUUUUCGUGGGGGAUAACGUAGGGAAACUUACGCUAAUACCGCAUACGACCUACGGGUGAAAGCAGGGGAUCUUCGGACCUUGCGCGAUUGAAUGAGCCGAUGUCGGAUUAGCUAGUUGGCGGGGUAAAGGCCCACCAAGGCGACGAUCCGUAGCUGGUCUGAGAGGAUGAUCAGCCACACUGGAACUGGGACACGGUCCAGACUCCUACGGGAGGCAGCAGUGGGGAAUAUUGGACAAUGGGCGCAAGCCUGAUCCAGCCAUACCGCGUGGGUGAAGAAGGCCUUCGGGUUGUAAAGCCCUUUUGUUGGGAAAGAAAAGCAGCAGGUUAAUACCCCGCUGUUCUGACGGUACCCAAAGAAUAAGCACCGGCUAACUUCGUG
rnacentral:rRNA from 1 species